rfam:Trichoderma gamsii strain T6085 Scaffolds0006.1, whole genome shotgun sequence.
AUCCAAGUGCACGGGCGUUUUCCUUCUCCGUGAAGCGAUAAGCUGAGAGAGGAAUUUUGCUAGUUGAAAACUAUACACUGACCACUCCUGGCUGGGUUCGUCCCGGCCAGGGAAUUUUUGGAACACCCACGAAUUUCCUUUGGAU